UACGGAGGAUGCAAGCGUUAUCCGGAAUGAUUGGGCGUAAAGCGUCCGCAGGUGGCUGUGUAAGUCUGCUGUUAAAGAGUCUAGCUCAACUAGAUACAAGCAGUGGAAACUACACGGCUAGAGUACGUUCGGGGCAGAGGGAAUUCCUGGUGUAGCGGUGAAGUGCGUAGAGAUCAGGAAGAACACCGGUGGCGAAGGCGGCAUCCUGGACCAUAACUGACACUGAUAAGCGAAAGCCAGGGGAGCAAACGGG
rnacentral:rRNA from 1 species